UGCAAUCUUGUAAGAGCUAAAACAGUGAUUCUCGGGCCUUCAAUUAGCCGUAUAGAAAACUUCAUGUUUAUCCUUCAAGAGUUAGCGACGGCAUCUAUGGAAUAACACGCUAUCUUCAAGCAUAUCCUACACUUUAGAUUAUACUAAAUCCAAUGGCAAAAAAGAAUCCAUGUGAAAUGAAUGUGAAUCAACAAUCAUCUUGUACCAACAAGAGUUCAAAGGAUAUUUGUAGACCGACAAAAUUAAGUGUCAGUAAGUAAUAGAAGGUUGCAAUGCGUCGUGAACAGCAUUUGCUCCCGAAGAAGAAAAGUAAUAAAACCGAAAACAGCGAUGGUUCCUUGAACACAUUUUACAAAUUUUCAGCAUCUAAGUGGCAGAUGGUGGGAUCGAAAACAAAAGUGAAGGAAAGCGGUGACUUUUACAUAAAAAGGUCAGAUCUAGGACAGAGUUGGACCUGGUCCUCAGUGCUUUUAUGAGCUGACACACUCAAGCCUAUUGCAGCCAACAUGUAUUCACUGUAAUAUCCAUCAAAGUUUUUUCGACUCUUCAACCUUCAAAAUUCAAAAAAAAAAAUUCAUUACAAAACUAUUUGGCUCAACAAACUAAACGAAAUUUUCAGUCCAUACUUUUUUCAAAAGCUAAAAAAGGCACUUUCUAGAUAAACGCAUACAAAAUGUGUUCUGGUUGUAGCCCUUGCUGUAGUCCUUGCUGCUGCUCGCCAUGCGUGUGUCCAUGCAGAUACUUAAAAUGCACGGACUUCUGCUGCCGCUGGCCAUGCCCAUGCAAGGCUCAUUGCUAUAAUACGCCACCCAAGUGUUGCUGCUAAGUAGCAAUAUUAAGAAGUCUGCAAUGGAGCUUGUCGUCAGAAAUAAUUUUAGUCAAAUAUUAUAUAUUCUAUGCUUUUGGAUUAAGAAGUUUUAAGUGAAAAUAAAUAAAGUAAAAUUUUGGAAAAAAACAUUGAAAUCACAGUAUUUCCAAUAAAUCUACUCAAAAACCGGA